rnacentral:rRNA from 1 species
UACGUAGGGUGCAAGCGUUAAUCGGAAUACUGGGCGUAAAGCGUGCGCAGGCGGCUUUGCAAGACAGAUGUGAAAUCCCCGGGCUCAACCUGGGAACUGCAUUUGUGACUGCAUGGCUAGAGUACGGUAGAGGGGGAUGGAAUUCCGCGUGUAGCAGUGAAAUGCGUAGAUAUGCGGAGGAACACCGAUGGCGAAGGCAAUCCCCUGGACCUGUACUGACGCUCAUGCACGAAAGGCGUGGGGAGCAAACAGG